rnacentral:rRNA from 1 species
CAGCCCAGAGCCUGAAUCAGUGUGUGUGUUAGUGGAAGCGUCUGGAAAGGCGCGCGAUACAGGGUGACAGCCCCGUACACAAAAAUGCACAUGCUGUGAGCUCGAUGAGUAGGGCGGGACACGUGGUAUCCUGUCUGAAUAUGGGGGGACCAUCCUCCAAGGCUAAAUACUCCUGACUGACCGAUAGUGAACCAGUACCGUGAGGGAAAGGCGAAAAGAACCCCGGCGAGGGGAGUGAAAAAGAACCUGAAACCGUGUACGUACAAGCAGUGGGAGCACGCUUAGGCGUGUGACUGCGUACCUUUUGUAUAAUGGGUCAGCGACUUAUAUUCUGUAGCAAGGUUAACCGAAUAGGGGAGCCGAAGGGAAACCGAGUCUUAACUGGGCGUUAAGUUGCAGGGUAUAGACCCGAAACCCGGUGAUCUAGCCAUGGGCAGGUUGAAGGUUGGGUAACACUAACUGGAGGACCGAACCGACUAAUGUUGAAAAAUUAGCGGAUGACUUGUGGCUGGGGGUGAAAGGCCAAUCAAACCGGGAGAUAGCUGGUUCUCCCCGAAAGCUAUUUAGGUAGCGCCUCGUGAAUUCAUCUCCGGGGGUAGAGCACUGUUUCGGCAAGGGGGUCAUCCCGACUUACCAACCCGAUGCAAACUGCGAAUACCGGAGAAUGUUAUCACGGGAGACACACGGCGGGUGCUAACGUCCGUCGUGAAGAGGGAAACAACCCAGACCGCCAGCUAAGGUCCCAAAGUCAUGGUUAAGUGGGAAACGAUGUGGGAAGGCCCAGACAGCCAGGAUGUUGGCUUAGAAGCAGCCAUCAUUUAAAGAAAGCGUAAUAGCUCACUGGUCGAGUCGGCCUGCGCGGAAGAUGUAACGGGGCUAAACCAUGCACCGAAGCUGCGGCAGCGACGCUUAUGCGUUGUUGGGUAGGGGAGCGUUCUGUAAGCCUGCGAAGGUGUGCUGUGAGGCAUGCUGGAGGUAUCAGAAGUGCGAAUGCUGACAUAAGUAACGAUAAAGCGGGUGAAAAGCCCGCUCGCCGGAAGACCAAGGGUUCCUGUCCAACGUUAAUCGGGGCAGGGUGAGUCGACCCCUAAGGCGAGGCCGAAAGGCGUAGUCGAUGGGAAACAG